CCGCUUCCCUCCCUCCCUACUCGAGGAGAACUGAAACCCUGACGCCGCGUUCCGGCCUCCGCCAACCCCAGCUCCGGCCCGCGACCUGGUCACGCUGAGCUGCACACCAUGUUUUCCCUUUAGCUCCUGGCCGAGGGCCGGCCGAGGCUUCCGGCUUCCCUCUGACGCUGCUUUCUAGCUUCCAGAUCCGCAGCUGCAUCUCUUCGCUUCGGGGCUUGCCCUGCUGGGCCGCGACCUGAGCCGUCUUUCCCCGCCAGGACCAGCCCACUGGUAGGGGGCCGAGCGGGCACUAAGGCAGAGGGGACCGCCGCUCCCGCCCCGAAGUAGCUGGGAAGAACCAGGCAGGAGCGGACGUCUCAGCCUUUAGAGGCCAUUCCUCUAACUAAUGCUAUUCGGAUUGUGACCCAAGGACAGGAGGAUACUUUUGUCUUGCAUUGGGAGACGAGUCCCUUCUGGGUUGACCAGCAAAGCCUCCAAAAACUCUGAGCCUUUCUUGUAAAGUUUGUAGAGUGUGAUUACAAACAACAACAGACUCUAAAAGAAAACAACAGAAGUUGAA